rnacentral:rRNA from 1 species
UAGGGAAUAUUGGUAAUGUGCGAAAGCGCGAACCAGCAACGCCGCGUGCACGAUGAAGGCCUUCGGGUCGUAAAGUGCUUUUAGAGAGGAUGAGGAAGGACAGUACUUUCUGAAUAAGCCUCGGCUAACUACGUGCCAGCAGCCGCGGUAAAACGUAGGAGGCAAGCGUUAUCCGGAUUUACUGGGCGUAAAGCGCAUGCAGGUGGUUUUGUAAGUUGGAUGUGAAAGCUCCUGGCUUAACUGGGAGAGGUCGUUCAAAACUACAAGACUUGAGAUUGGUAGAGGAAAAUGGAAUUCCGGGUGUAGUGGUGAAAUGCGUAGAUAUCCGGAGGAACACCAGUGGCGAAAGCGGUUUUCUGGACCAAUUCUGACACUCAGAUGCGAAAGCUAAGGUAGCAAAC